rnacentral:rRNA from 1 species
CCUACGGGAGGCAGCAGUGAGGAAUAUUGGUCAAUGGACGAGAGUCUGAACCAGCCAAGUAGCGUGAAGGAUGACUGCCCGAUGGGUUGUAAACUGCUUUUAUAGGGGAAUAAAACGUUCCACGUGGGGGAUUUUGCAUGUACCAUAUGAAUAAGGAUCGGCUAACUCCGUGCCAGCAGCCGCGGUAAUACGGAGGAUCCGAGCGUUAUCCGGAUUUAUUGGGUUUAAAGGGAGCGUAGGUGGAUUGUUAAGUCAGUUGGGAUAGUUUGCGGCUCAACCGUAAAAUUGCAGUUGAAACUGGCAGUCUUGAGUACAGUAGAGGUGGGCUGACUUCGUGGUGUCGCGG